UACGAAGGGGGCUAGCGUUGUUCGGAAUCACUGGGCGUAAAGGGCGCGUAGGCGGCCGAUCAAGUCGAGUGUGAAAGCCCCGGGCUUAACUUGGGAAUUGCGCUCGAAACUACGUGGCUGGAGUGUGGCAGAAGGAAGGUGGAAUUCCACGUGUAGCGGAUGAAAUGCGUAGAGAUGUGGAGGAACACCAAUGGCGAAGGCAGCCUUCUG
rnacentral:rRNA from 1 species